rnacentral:rRNA from 1 species
GACGUAGGAGGCGAGCGUUGUCCGGAGUUACUGGGCGUAAAGAGCGCGCAGGCGGUCGUUCAAGUCACGUGUGAAAGCCCCCGGCUCAACUGGGGAGGGUCACGCGAUACUGAUCGACUCGAAGGCAGGAGAGGGUAGUGGAAUUCCCGGUGUAGUGGUGAAAUGCGUAGAUAUCGGGAGGAACACCAGUGGCGAAGGCGACUACCUGGCCUGUUUCUUGACGCUGAGGCGCGAAAGCUAGGGGAGCAACGGGG